GUGCUCACUUUGGCAGCACAUAUACUAAAAUUGGAAAGAUACAGAGAUUAGCAUGGCCCCUGCCAACAAUGACACCCAAAGUUAAAAAGAAAGGAGAUACACAAUCCU